AUCACAUGAGUAUAUAUGUACAAUUGACUUCCAAUCAAUAAGAUUAAGCUAAUUAAAUGUGAUA
rnacentral:tRNA from 1 species